GCUGGGCAUGGUGGCGCAUGCCUGUAAUCCCAGCUACUUGGGAGGCUGAGGCAGAAGAAUUGCUUGAACCCGGGAGGCAGAGGUUUCAGUGAGCCAAGAUCGUGCCUGGGUGACAGAGCGAGACUCUGACUCAA
rnacentral:SRP_RNA from 1 species